rnacentral:misc_RNA from 1 species
AAGUCGUAACAAGGUAACCGUAGGUGAACCUGCGGUUGGAUCAUUACCAAUAUAUUUUCUUUUUUUUCUUUUUUUUUCCCCCGCGGAAUUGUCUUGCUCGCCGGUUGGACAAAACUAUAACCUUUUUUAAAUCUUCAAUCAGCGUCUGAAUUAUACAUAAUAAUUACAACUUUCAACAACGGAUCUCUUGGUUCUG